CUACGGGUUGCACCAGUGGGGAAUAUUGGACAAUGGAGGAAACUCUGAUCCAGCCAUGCCGCGUGAGUGAAGAAGGCCCUAGGGUUGUAAAACUCUUUCAGUAAGGAAGAUAAUGACGGUACUUACAGAAGAAGCCCCGGCUAACUCCGUGCCAGCAGCCGCGGUAAUACGGAGGGGGCUAGCGUUGUUCGGAAUCACUGGGCGUAAAGCGCGCGUAGGCGGUUUGAAAAGUCAGAUGUGAAAGCCCAGGGCUCAACCCUGGAACUGCAUUUGAAACUAUCAGACUAGAAUUCGGUAGAGGAUAGUGGAAUUCCUAGUGUAACAGUGAAAUGUAUAGAUAUUAGGAGGAACACCAGUGGCGAAGGCGACUAUCUGGGCCGAUAUUGACGCUAAUGUGCGAAAGCGUGGGGAGCAAACAGGAUUAGAUACCCGUGUAGUC
rnacentral:rRNA from 1 species